GGAUGCGAUCAUACAAGCACUAAAGCAUCGGAUCCCAUCAGAACUCCGAAGUUAAGCGAGCUUGGGCGAGAGUAGUACUAGGAUGGGUGACCUCCUGGGAAGUCCUCGUGUUGCAUUCC
rnacentral:rRNA from 1 species